rnacentral:rRNA from 1 species
GACGAACGCUGGCGGCGUGCUUAACACAUGCAAGUCGAACGGAAAGGCCCUGCUUUUGUGGGGUGCUCGAGUGGCGAACGGGUGAGUAACACGUGAGUAACCUGCCCUUGACUUUGGGAUAACUUCAGGAAACUGGGGCUAAUACCGGAUAGGAGCUCCUGCUGCAUGGUGGGGGUUGGAAAGUUUCGGCGGUUGGGGAUGGACUCGCGGCUUAUCAGCUUGUUGGUGGGGUAGUGGCUUACCAAGGCUUUGACGGGUAGCCGGCCUGAGAGGGUGACCGGCCGCAUUGGGACUGAGAUACGGCCCAGACUCCGACGGGAGGCAGCAGUGGGGAAUAUUGCACAAUGGGCGGAAGCCUGAUGCAGCAGCGCCGCGUGCGGGAUGACGGCCUUCGGGUUGUAAACCGCUUUCGCCUGUGACGAAGCGUGAGUGACGGUAAUGGGUAAAGAAGCACCGGCUAACUACGUGC